GAUGUCUGGUGUGCCGUCACAUCAAAUUAUUAUGCAGCUUUCCAGUAUCUGCAGGAUAUUGGAGCACUGGACCCAGACAAUGAAAAACACCUAAUCUGUCUACACUAUGUCAUGGUGCCUAGACUGAAUAUGGACCUUGACCUGUUCAGACAGGUGUGGGACCGACAUCCCCUCUCAUCAGAAGGCAACAAAUCUCCGCAACAGUUGUGGGUUUCAGGUCAACUGUUGAAUACAGAUGCUCCAGCUGAUCCAAUGGAUUUCACUAACUUUGGAGUGGACUGGGAUGGUCCUGUUCCUGCAAUGGAUUGUGGUGUUGUUGCAGUUCCUGAGGCCCCCGCAUCCCUUCAGGAGGUUGUACUGGAAGAAGUCACCCACCACAUCCAUCCCCUAAUGUCAAGUCAAUGUUUUGGCUUAGAUCUAUACUUCGAGGCACUAAGAUUGAGUGAAAUGGUCACUAUUUAGGGGCCCAAGCUGUGUAGCUUUCUGAAAUUGUAUCAUUGGCCAAAGAGGCCCAGGUUGAUGUCAAGUUCCAGCUGCCCAUCUAAUAGAACAGACCUACAAGCCACCUCACUAAUCAAACCAUCUUAUAUGAUCUAAAUCUAAGCCCACCAUCUGAGCUAGUCUUCUCUCAGACCCUCCAAUAGAGUUCUACACAAUUCAGUGUCCUGCUCAAGCUUCUGUAGACUGUCGUUUCUGUCUCUUGGUUGUUCUCUGUGCAUUCUGUUUCAUCAGUGCUUUCAGAUUGUAAAAGCACACGUGUUUCUGCAUGGUGCCACUUUCAUUUCAUCAGAUCAACCUCAUCCAGUGCAGAGCCCCAUCAAAUCAGUCCACUAACAUACUGUUAAGGUUUUUUUUGUUCCAUUGGUUUAGAUCGGCUCAUUGUUACUACUGCUUUUUGUUUUGUCAAUGUUAUUGUUUGCUUGAUAUCA